UUGACGAAAUAGUCGCGUUUGACAUUUGAGCCGAGCCCACUGCGAUUGGAAUCCACGGAAUGUCAAAUAUUUUCAGUGCUGCCAUCUGUGUAUUGGAAUGUCAAUUCAUUCGAAGGCAGCACACUGGAGUGUUAGCGUAAUUUAAGGCAUACGAAAAUAUAAGCACACGUUUGCGAAUAUAUUGGAAUGCGUCCAGUUUUAUGCCGCCUUUCGGAGACGUCACCGGCGCAGGCGUGAUGGUUGGUAGGCCGCGCUGCUACAGGGUUAUCGACACACCGUGGAAGCGGCAAGCAGUGGCUAGGGUCGGCACCACGCCACGCUCGCCUGCCAUUCUGCGCACGAAGCGUAGCGCAACUUCAACUGUUUCGGUUCGAUACUUACGUUAGAAUUUUAUUAUGUAAUUAUAUUUUUUUUUAUUACACUUAAUUAUUAAAGAUGAUCUUGUGAUGGA